AAAAGAAGCACAGAGCAUUCUACAUUGGCAACCAAGAUAAGUUAUCGUUAACCAGAAAGUGCCCAGUGCAAGAAUGGCAGCCAAAUUGUUUCUAUGUCUGAUCGGUUUGCUCUCCCUUCUGGUGUUAUUUUCAACCGAGUCUGAUGCCUUUGGAAACGGAGCACUUAGCGGUGGUAAAAGAGCCUUCAAGAUGAUGAGUGACUUUCAGGAGGCUGAUGAAAAUAUCAUCAUGAAACGCCGAUUGUGUGACAUGGCUAAGCGCGUGGGAUGUUAAAAUGUGAUUCUAGAUGUUGAUGAAAAGAAGCAGUUUUUCUCGUAAAUAACGUAACAUCUCUCCUCCGAGGAAUAUGAAAAGGUCCAUAUGAGCGAAUAAAAAUUAAAACUCAA